rnacentral:misc_RNA from 1 species
GAUGAAGAACGCAGCGAAAUGCGAUAAGUAAUGUGAAUUGCAGAAUUCAGUGAAUCAUCGAAUCUUUGAACGCACCUUGCACUCCUUGGUAUUCCGAGGAGUACGCCUGUUCGAGUGUUAUGAAGCUCUCAAAACGCAAUUGGCUUAAAACCUGAUUGUUGUUUUGGAUUUGUACUUUGCCGUGUUAUAACGGCUGGUUUUAAAAGUAUUAGCUGGUACUAGAACGAAUUGGUUCUACUCAACGUGAUAAUUAUCUGAUCGUUGAGGACAUUCCUUUCACGAGGAAUGGCCAUAGUAAAUUCAAUGGACUGCUUCUAAUCUGGCUUUAAUUCUUUAUUGGAUUAACCACUUUUCAAAUCUGACCUCGAAUCAGGUGGGACUACCCGCUGAACUUAAGCAUAUCAAUAAGCGGAGGA